AUUCACUGUCAGUUGUACUUUAAAGAUGGACGAGGCCAGACUGUAGGCAAACUGUGCUGAACUUUUUGACAGGAGAGCGAGCUAGGGAAACCGUGCUGUCCAUUUUGAUACCUAAUCUUGGAACUAUAAAACUUCAUUUCUGGCCGACACGGCAAAACAUUUGGACACCACUGGAUUAGAGGAUGCAAAUGGGAAAUGCUUUACAAUUUUUGC